rnacentral:rRNA from 1 species
UACGUAGGGUGCAAGCGUUGUCCGGAAUUACUGGGCGUAAAGGGCGCGUAGGCGGCCUUCUAAGUCGAACGUGAAAUCCCCGGGCUCAACCCGGGAACUGCGUCCGAUACUGGAAGGCUUGAAUCCGGGAGAGGGAUGCGGAAUUCCAGGUGUAGCGGUGAAAUGCGUAGAUAUCUGGAGGAACACCGGUGGCGAAGGCGGCAUCCUGGACCGGCAUUGACGCUGAGGCGCGAAAGCCAGGGGAGCAAACGGG